UUGUUAGCUCAGUGGUAGAGCAUCUGACUUUUAAUCAGGUGGCCACAGGUUCGAGUCCUGUACA
rnacentral:tRNA from 2 species